AUUCUGUGGGGGGAUGGAAUAGCAGGCUGCUUGCUGCUUGUCUUGAUUGGCACAUUUUCAAGACAAAAGACCCUGACAGAAAGGUGUGAAGGCAUUUAAGUUACGGUGCAGUAGAAGAGUCCGGUCGUGUUAUGGGGCAGCAGUCAAAGAAGGGAGGAGAGAUGUGUGCCAUGUUGAAGUAGUGGCUGGCUCUCCUGACACUUCUAGAAUCCUCCCUCUCAAUCUCUGGUCUGAUCUUCUGUGCCUUUGCCAAUUGAUCACGAGUUUUUUGCAAUGGUGGCCCCCCUGCGUCUCCACCGUCUGUUAAAUCAACUCCAACUGCCUGUGACAGAAGAAAAGUUCACAAGACAUCCUGAAAUGGAAGUGUGAUUGGAGUGAGACGGCCACAAUUAUGUAUGCUGGGAUGUGCAGAGGGGGCUGUGUGGGCUUUGGCUUGGGACCCCCAGAGGUUUAUUAUCUCCAGUGUCCUUGAAGGCUGCAAGCUUGUCUUUGUCCCCAGCAAUUUGACCAGGCAGUGUAUUUAUUACAAAGGACAAGGCCCCAUCCAUUUGCUUCUCAUUUACUUUUAUAAUACCUUCAGUUUUCUUUGUAACUGUAUA